UGCAGCUCAGCAGCAAGAUAUGCAGGGAAUUUCAUUUUUUAAUCUUCUUAAACCUCAGUGCUUUUGUUUCUUAUCCAGAGAAACUGUGAUAAGAUGUAUGAUACAGCGAAGUUUGAUGGAUGCAUUCACAUACUCGUUAUUUUUGCAUUACCCUAUACAUCGAUGGGGGUUGAAUGCAAAUGAGUUUCUAUCAAAGAAGAGAAAGUUGAUUUGUCGGUUCUACCAGGUUUUGUCUUACUUACAUACGUCACUCUAGAGAAGAUGAAUAAAGGUGAAGUUUUGAUGGUAAUAUGGUCUCUGCGGGUGCAAAUGAGUGUCUGAGGCUUAAGAGAUCUCUUAGGUACAGACCAUGGGUACACUACAGUGAUUAGGUGAUAGAUCGGAUGAGGAAUCUACAGAUCGACAACCUCAUCAGCAUCUUCCUCCGUGGUCGUGCCUUCCUAAAGGUGUUCUUCGUGGGUGUUUUAAGUGUACUAAUUGCGAAAAGGUCACGACAAAGUGGCGUCCAGAAGCUUCACAAAGGAGUUUAACGAUACACUUAAAUAUAUAGACAACAUACGCUCAAAAGCAGAGCCAUAUAGAAUUUGCAGAAUAGUUCCUUCCUCUUCAUGGAGACCUCACUGCCCUUUUAAAGAAAACAAUGUAUGAGAGAUUCAACUGACUAGGAAGAUACAACUACAUCCGGUUUGCACCCAUAGGUCAUGGAAACGUCCAUAUGGUGUUGGUCUGCUUGUUGCAGGGUUGGAUGAAUCAAGAGCACACCUCUACUACAAUUUCCCAAGUGGGAACUACUUCGAAUACCAGGCCUUUGCUAUUGGGGCUCGCUCACAAUCUGCUAAAACUUGUUUGGAUCGCAAAUUUGAGUCCUUCGCCAACUCUACCCGUCAUGAUCUGAUCAAAGAUGCACUCUUUGCAAUCAAGGAAACUUUACAAGGAGAGAAGCUAACAAGCUCAAUCUGCACUGUUGCUGUUAUUGGUCUUGAAGAGGAUUUCCACAUUUUGGAUCAGAAAACUAUGCAAGAGUUUAUCGAGUUGUUAGAGACAAGGGAAGAUGCGCCCGUGCAAGAAGAAGCAGAAGUGCCUCCUCCAGCUCCAAUGGACAUUGGAGAUCUGUAAGAGAAGCGGUUGCAUUGCUUUGAAGUGGUGCAUUGCGUUGCUUCGAUUAUACAGAAAUGUUCAUAGGUGGAAACUGAACUCAGGAUGACAUUGCUAGUAAUGGAGAAUAUCUUUGUUCAAUGCACACUUAAUGUCUCUUUCUUUGUUCAAUGCGCAAUUGAUGUCUCUUUCAGUGAA